rnacentral:rRNA from 1 species
GAAACAGUUGCUAAGACUGGAUAGGAAAUAAAAAGGCAUCUUUUUAUUUUUAAAAGACCUUUUUCGGAAGGUAUGCUUAAAGAGGGGCUUGCGUCACAUUAGUUAGUUGGCAGGGUAAAGGCCUACCAAGACUAUGAUGUGUAGCUGGACUGAGAGGUUGAACAGCCACAUUGGGACUGAGACACGGCCCAAACUCCUACGGGAGGCAGCAGUAGGGAAUUUUCGGCAAUGGAGGAAACUCUGACCGAGCAACGCCGCGUGAACGAUGAAGUAUUUCGGUAUGUAAAGUUCUUUUAUUGAAGAAGAAAAAAUAGUGGAAAAACUAUCUUGACGAUAUUCAAUGAAUAAGCCCCGGCAAACUAUGUGCCAGCAGCCGCGGUAAUACAUAGGGGGCGAGCGUUAUCCGGAAUUAUUGGGCGUAAAGGGUGCGUAGGCGGUUUAAUAAGUCUAUAGUUUAAUUUCAGUGCUUAACACUGUCCUGCUAUAGAAACUAUUAGACUAGAGUGAGAUAGAGGCAAGUGGAAUUCCAUGUGUAGCGGUAAAAUGCGUAAAUAUAUGGAGGAACACCAGAGGCGUAGGCGGCUUGCUGGGUCUUUACUGACGCUGAGGCACGAAAGCGUGGGGAGCAAACAGGAUUAGAUACCCUGGUAGUCCACGCCGUAAACGAUGAGUACUAAGUGUCGGGAUUACUCGGUACUGAAGUUAACACAUUAAGUACUCCGCCUGAGUAGUACGUACGCAAGUAUGAAACUUAAAGGAAUUGACGGGACUCCGCACAAGCGGUGGAUCAUGUUGUUUAAUUCGAAGAUACACGAAAAACCUUACCAGGUCUUGACAUACUCUGCAAAGCUAUAGCAAUAUAGUGGAGGUUAUCAGAGAUACAGGUGGUGCAUGGUUGUCGUCAGCUCGUGUCGUGAGAUGUUAGGUUAAGUCCUAAAACGAGCGCAACCCUUGUCAUUAGUUGCCAGCAUGUCAUGAUGGGCACUUUAAUGAGACUGCCAAUGAAAAAUUGGAGGAAGGUGAGGAUCACGUCAAUCAUCAUGCCCCUUAUGAUCUGGGCUACAAACGUGAUACAAUGGCUGUUACAAAGAGUAGCUGAAACGCAAGUUUAUAGCCAAUCUCAUAAAAGCAGUCUCAGUUCGGAUUGAAGUCUGCAACUCGACUUCAUGAAGUUGGAAUCGCUAGUAAUCGCGAAUCAGCAUGUCGCGGUGAAUACGUUCUCGGGGUUUGAACCCCCCGCCCGUC